CCAGACUCCUACGGGAGGCAGCAGUGGGGAAUACUGCACAAUGGGGGAAACCCUGAUGCAGCGACGCCGCGUGAAGGACGAAGUAUUUCGGUACGUAAACUUCUAUCAGCAGGGAAGAAAAUGACGGUACCUGACCAAGAAGCCCCGGCUAACUACGUGCCAGCAGCCGCGGUAAUACGUAGGGGGCAAGCGUUAUCCGGAUUUACUGGGUGUAAAGGGAGCGUAGACGGCCAUGCAAGUCUGAUGUGAAAACCCGGGGCUCAACCCCGGGACUGCAUUGGAAACUGUGCGGCUGGAGUGUCGGAGAGGCAAGUGGAAUUCCUAGUGUAGCGGUGAAAUGCGUAGAUAUUAGGAGGAACACCAGUGGCGAAGGCGGCUUGCUGGACGACGACUGACGUUGAGGCUCGAAAGCGUGGGGAGCAAACAGGAUUAGAUACCCGGGUAGC
rnacentral:rRNA from 1 species